rnacentral:lncRNA from 1 species
AAUACAAAACUUUGUGUAGAAUGGACGCCUCCAAUCCCACAAUACGAUUAUGCACCACACUCGAACCAUCUGAUGGGUCAUAAUGUCGUACAAAUUCUUCUACAAUAGAUGGAUCUAAUGGUGGUAAAACUCUUGAAUAUCGCAAGAAACCAUAAACGGUCGCCUCCUUGAAAUCUUUCUCGAAUUUCCUCUGCCACAACAAGUCAAUCUGGCAAUUCUCCAUAUUUGUGAACGUUACCAGCUCCAAUUCUGGUAACUCAUUCCUAAACCUCACAUUCCUUGACCUAUCAU